rnacentral:rRNA from 1 species
CCCGGUGUAGCGGUGAAAUGCGUAGAUAUCGGGAAGAACACCAGUGGCGAAGGCGNUCUGCUGGNCCAUAACUGACGCUCAUGGACGAAAGCCAGGGGAGCGAAAGGGAUUAGAUACCCCUGUAGUCCUGGCCGUAAACGAUGAACACUAGGUGUCGGGGGAAUCGACCCCCUCGGUGUCGUAGCCAACGCGUUAAGUGUUCCGCCUGGGGAGUACGCACGCAAGUGUGAAACUCAAAGGAAUUGACGGGGGCCCGCACAAGCGGUGGAGUAUGUGGUUUAAUUCGAUGCAACGCGAAGAACCUUACCAGGGUUUGACAUCCUGCGAACCUCUUGGAAACGAGAGGGUGCCUUCGGGAACGCAGUGACAGGUGGUGCAUGGCUGUCGUCAGCUCGUGUCGUGAGAUGUUGGGUUAAGUCCCGCAACGAGCGCAACCCACGUCUUUAGUUGCCAGCAUUCAGUUGGGCACUCUAGAGAGACCGCCGGUGAUAAACCGGAGGAAGGUGUGGAUGACGUCAAGUCAUCAUGCCCCUUACAUCCUGGGCUACACACGUACUACAAUGCUACGGACAAAGGGCAGCAAGUUCGCGAGGACAAGCAAAUCCCAUAAACCGUGGCUCAGUUCAGAUCGUAGGCUGCAACUCGCCUACGUGAAGGAGGAAUCGCUAGUAAUCGCAGGUCAGCAUACUGCGGUGAAUACGUUCCCGGGCCUUGUACACACCGCCCGUCACACCAUGGAAGUUGGCCACGCCCGAAGCCGUUACUCCAACCCUUGUGGAGGAGGACGUCGAAGGUGGGGCUGAUGACUGGGGUGAAGUCGUAACAAGGUAACC